rnacentral:RNase_P_RNA from 1 species
UGUAUGCGUUUGUGAUCGCCCUUCGCCAAAAGCACGAGGGGAGGAAAGUCCGAACACACACCAGGAUAAAGCCUGGAAGAGUAGCGGGUAACGCCCGUCGUGGGUAACCAUAGCGUUGCGAACAGUGACGAACCGAUUUAGUUCGGAUGAAACGGCUAAAUACGUACUUGUGUGCAAGGCCGUGCCCAGUGAAAUAGAGUAGUUUGCUACUUAGAGUGCUCUGCACAUUUCACCAGGGAGUGCCGCAUGAGCGCAUUGGCAACAAUGCGCCUAGGUAAAUGAUCACACUGGUUUUCCAGACAGAAUUCGGCUUAUAAACGUACACACAAG